GCGCCCGUAGCUCAGCUGGAUAGAGCGUCUGGCUACGAACCAGAAGGUCGCGUGUUCGAAUCGCGCCGGGCGCACCA
rnacentral:tRNA from 2 species